rnacentral:rRNA from 1 species
UACGUAGGGUGCAAGCGUUAAUCGGAAUUACUGGGCGUAAAGCGUGCGCAGGCGGUUUUGUAAGUCAGAUGUGAAAUCCCCGGGCUUAACCUGGGAACUGCGUUUGAAACUACAAGGCUAGAGUGUGACAGAGGGGGGUGGAAUUCCACGUGUAGCAGUGAAAUGCGUAGAGAUGUGGAGGAACACCGAUGGCGAAGGCAGCCCCCUGGGUUGACACGUGACGCUCAGGCACGAAAGCGUGGGGAGCAGACAGG